rnacentral:rRNA from 1 species
CCCUUAGAUGUUCUGGGCCGCACGCGCGCUACACUGAUGCAUUCAACGAGUUAUUCUUUGACCUUGGUCGAAAGAUCUGGGUAAUCUUUUGAAAGUGCAUCGUGAUUGGGAUAGAUGAUUGCAAUUCUUCAUCUUCAACGAGGAAUGCCUAGUAAACGCAAGUCAUCAGCUUGCAUUGAUUACGUCCCUGCCCUUUGUACACACCGCCCGUCGCUCCUACCGAUUGAAUGAUCCGAUGAAUACCAUGGGUUGAGAGUUCGAACAGGUUCUCCUGUUUCAGCUUCUCGAGAAGUGGAGUAAAUCUUAUCAUUUAGAGGAAGGAGAAGUCGUAACA